ACUAUCGCAAACUGUUUGACUUGAAAAAAUACAAAACAUAUUUUUAUUAAAGAGCAGUUUGGGAGCCAAAAAGAGUCGGACUGCCCACAACAACAGCCCCCUAAAUCAUAUCUGACUUUCUGAUUUGUAAAUUCACUGCAGUUCCCAACAUUGACCAGCAGGUGGCAAUGAUAGUCUCUUCUCAGACAGUAAAUGACCACCAGUCAGCUACAUUUAUUUUGUUAGGAGGGGAUGGAAAAGCAUUGAGACUAUUUGUCAUAGAAGCAAUUUCACUCAUUUACUCAUGUGAAUGGGUCCAAAGAGAUAAGAGAAGCUAAUAUUGAUAGGCACUGUUAAAUCUUUACAGCUCAGGAUAAUAUGACUAUAAUUAAAGAACAUCACUACCA